CCUCUCUCAGGGUCACGCCUGGAGAGUUUCCAGUACUUUACCGGUCACGACUACAGGAGGGAAGAGUCAAGCAGAGGCCUACCCAUUCCAUUCCUAGCUUGGCCAAUGGCUAGCGAGUGGAAGGCCAUCUGCUACAAGU